rnacentral:rRNA from 1 species
UACGAAGGGGGCGAGCGUUGUUCGGAUUUACUGGGCGUAAAGGGCGCGCAGGCGGCGAGUUUUGUCAGGCGUGAAAGCCCCGGGCUCAACCUGGGAACUGCGCUUGAAACGGGCUUGCUAGAGAUCGGGAGAGGAGAGUGGAAUUCCCAGUGUAGAGGUGAAAUUCGUAGAUAUUGGGAAGAACACCAGUGGCGAAGGCGGCUCUCUGGACCGACACUGACGCUGAGGCGCGAAAGCGUGGGGAGCAAACAGG